UGGAAUUUAACUUAAUGUUUUAAUAUGAGAACUGAAUAUUUUAUCAUGCUUCAUGCAUCAUGAAUAUGCUAUAGGGUAAGUGCAUUAGUGUACACCAAGAUGAUGCAUUGCAUUUAUCCUUGUACUUGGCAUUGCUCCUUGUACAUUGCUUAUGUGAGACGGCACGGACUUCGUGAGGAUUCAUUAGCCCUCAGAGGAAAGACCUGGAACAGCCCUACG
rnacentral:lncRNA from 1 species